CCCUACGGGGGGCAGCAGUCGGGAAUAUUGCCCAAUGGAGGAAACUCUGAUGCAGUGACGCCGCGUGCAGGAAGAAGGUUUUCGGAUUGUAAACUGCUUUAGACAGGGAAGAAACAAGACAGUACCUGUAGAAUAAGCUCCGGCUAACUACGUGCCAGCAGCCGCGGUAAUACGUAGGGAGCGAGCGUUGUCCGGAUUUACUGGGUGUAAAGGGUGCGCAGGCGGCUCUGCAAGUCGGGCGUGAAAGCUAGGGGCUCAACCCCUAAACUGCGUUUGAAACUGUGGAGCUUGAGUGAAGUAGAGGC
rnacentral:rRNA from 1 species